UACGUAGGGUGCAAGCGUUAAUCGGAAUUACUGGGCGUAAGCGUGACGCAGGCGGUUAUGUAAGACAGUUGUGAAAUCCCCGGGCUCAACCCUGGGAACUGCAUCUGUGACUGCAUAGCUAGAGUACGGUAGAGGGGGAUGGAAUUCCGCGUGUAGCAGUGAAAUGCGUAGAUAUGCGGAGGAACACCCGAUGGCGAAGGCAAUCCCCUGGACCUGUACUGACGCUCAUGCACGAAAAGCGUGGGGAGCAAACAGG
rnacentral:rRNA from 1 species